rnacentral:ncRNA from 1 species
CGAUAGAGGCGCACCUUUCAUCAGUAGCGCAGGAUAGGCUGCCAGAGCCGCUUGAUUCCUGUGCCAAAGGGAACGGUGCCGAAGGGGGUACAGCCGGCAUGUGCCGCCCUGGGUGUGUCCUGAACAAGGGCACAACUGUCAUCGCUUUUGCGGCGAUGAAGCGCUAUCAGA